GGCUCAGGAUGAACGCUAGCUACAGGCUUAACACAUGCAAGUCGAGGGGCAGCACGGUGUAGCAAUACACUGGUGGCGACCGGCGCACGGGUGCGUAACGCGUAUCCAACUUUCCCGUUACUCUCGGAUAGCCUCCGAAAGGGAGAUUAAUACGAGAUGGUGUUCAGUUUCCGCAUGUUACUGAACUAAAGAUUCAUCGGUAACGGAUUGGGAUGCGUGACAUUAGAUAGUUGGCGGGGUAACGGCCCACCAAGUCAACGAUGUCUAGGGGUUCUGAGAGGAAGGUCCCCCACACUGGAACUGAGACACGGUCCAGACUCCUACGGGAGGCAGCAGUGAGGAAUAUUGGUCAAUGGGCGCAGGCCUGAACCAGCCAAGUAGCGUGAAGGAUGAAGGUUCUAUGGAUUGUAAACUUCUUUUAUACGGGAAUAACAUCACCUACGUGUAGGUGCCUGCAUGUACCGUAUGAAUAAGCAUCGGCUAACUCCGUG
rnacentral:rRNA from 1 species